rnacentral:lncRNA from 1 species
CCCACAUAGACAGACACACACACACACACACACACACACACACAGACAGACGGCCUGAUGAACGUCAAUUCCACGCAAAUGCUGAAAACUACUUAAAGCGAUUCAUUAUAACGUCCAUUUCUAGGCGACCGUGAAUGUUCAGAAGUUCCGUUAGAACGCUACAGUUACAUGAAAGAAAACAAGUUCGAUUGAACUCGCAGCUGCAGAGUUUGGAGUCCGGGCACCGUGUGUGUGUGUGUGUGUGUGUGUGUGUCGCGGAAUUUUCACAAAUUUUCAAAAUAAUAACCUAGAACGAUAAGUAAUUAAAUGGUUCUGAAUAACGUCAAGAGAUGUGCACAGCACAGAUGUUGCAGGACAUGGAUCAGCGGCUGCAGGAGGAAGGGUUGGGUGCCUCGGCCUCCAGCGAUGAGCGUCUGUCUCUGCUGUGGCAGCUUUACACGAAAAGUGAAAGUACCGUGAGAUCCCUCAACCAGCAGAUACAAGAUCUGCAGAAGGAACGUGUUGCUGAGAUUGAAAAGGUGAGUACGUCUAAAGAAAAAACCUGGAGACUCAUCACUUGUUUGGUUACAAGGAUCUAUACAAGUGACGUUUGGUCUGUGGAACACAAAAGUAGAUGUUUUUGAUAGAUAAGCAAUGCAAGGCAUUGAAGAAUAUACACAAAAGGGAAACUGCAGUCUUGUCCUUCUUCGAUCUCAGGUUCAGCAAUAUGUCAAUCACAUUAAGAGUCUCACAAAGACCCGAGACUCUGUGGCUUUACAUCUCGAGCAAGAAAACAAAACGUUCCAUGCAACUCUGGAUGACAUCCAUCGGCAACAAGGUGCAUUUCUGUCUGAUCUCUCCUCCAUCAGACUCGCUCUUCACCACGCAUGACAUUUGAAUUUAUGCUUACAGAAGCACAGAGGAGUGAGAUCUCCGAGAUGUUACUUCAGGAAGGUCUGGCUGAUAUUAUUCCCAUCAGCUUGAGUGAACAGGUGGCUUACCUCCUCGCAGACAGAGCUUCGCUGCUGGAGAAAAUACAAAGUCAGGAGAAUGUGGAUGUGAAGACCACUGAGGAUCCUGAUGUCCAAAAGGAGGAUUGUAGAGGGAAUGUGGUCAAAGCAGAUGACCUGCAGUGCAGUAGUGAUGACAAGUUGAAGGGACGGACGUUGCAGGAACUGGAGCGAGAUGUAGAAGAGGCGUCUGCUCGACUCACCAUGGCCCACAAAGAGAUCCGCAGGCUCACGGAUGAGCUGGAGUCGGCUCACCUGACACAAAAGGCUUAUGAACCAGAGCUGCAAGAAGCUCAAAUGGAAGUUGCACACCUGCGUCACGAAGUGGAGAAACUGAAAUGCUGUGAAGUUGCUGAAUUACGAAAAAUAAAAGAGAUUAACGAGAAACAGGAAGAAGAGCUGUGCUACCUUAGGGAGACUGUGAAGAGGCUACAGGCACAGGGUGUACAGUUGCUCGAAAUGACAGAAGCCCCUAACAGAACCGUCACUCCAUCCAAAGACAAGAAGCCACAGGAAGAGGAUAUCCAUAAACGGUGUCUUGACGAGAUGCAGGAGAGGUUACACAUGCUGCAAGAUCUGACGCAGGUCACGCUGAAGCUGCGGAUGGAGUUUGAGACGGAGGCCGACCUGCGGAGGAGGGCAGCGGCUGAAUGUGAAGAGCAGAAGAGGCAGAGGAUGGAAGCAGAGCGGUUAGUGCGAGACUUCCAGAACCUCUGUGAGAAACAGGCGGACGAUUACAGGACCACCGUCGGCAGCCUUCAGGUGGAGAUCAGAGAUUUAGUAACUAAGUUACAAGAGCUUGAGGCACAGGACGUGGAAAGACAAUGUGACAAACACCUGAAGCAGGUGUCUUCUCUGGAGAAUGAAGUUUGCCAGCUGAAGGCUGUCCUUCAGGAGGAGCAGCAGAAGACCGGGCAGCUGUCCAUGACCAUGCAGAUGGAAACUGACCAGGCCAGAGCUUUGGUCCAGUGCCAGAACGUCCAGCUUCAGCAGGAUGCAGAAGAGCAGAGGAGGAUGUUUGAGGAGCUGCAGGGCAUCCAGAACAUCCUCAGCACCACCAAACAAGAGCUGCUGUCCCAGAGGAGAAACAACACACGACUGCACAACAACAUCUCUGACGCCGAGCAGGAAAACCUCAGGCUCCAACAAAACACCGAAGACUUGAGGAACAGACUAACCAGCAGUCAACAGGAGACUGACUCUCUGAGGACAGAACUUCAGCUAGCUCUAGUUAGCGUGGACGCUGAGAGGAGUAAAUACAACGACAAGCGAAUCCACUACAAAAACAAGCUGAGCCGGGCCAGAGGGCUUUACAUGAGAGAGACAGGGUGGCGUGACGAAAAAAUAAAAGACUUGGAGAAAGAGAUUUUUAUUUCCAGGAAACAGGAGGAAAAGGCGUCACACAUGAUGAAGAUGGUCACGUCUGAAAACGAGAGUCUGCUUCAGAAGAACAGAGAGCUUCUUUUACAGCUGCACGACUUCGAAGAGGCACAGAAAAAUGCUUCGGAUGCAGUUGCCUCCAUGCAGAUGAGGAUAAAUUUGCUUGAAGAAGAGAAUAUUCAGCUUCAGCAGACGACGGCACAAAUGUCAGAGCACAUCGAGUGCCUGACGAUACUAGCCGAGACGAACUGCGACGAAGUCACUGCCGAGAGUCGCGUCAUCGAGGGCGAAGACCAAGCUACUCUACCUACAUGAAUAUCUUUUUCUUUUCAGUGUAAACUCAAUUCUUUUUGUAAACCUAAAUAUUUCAAAAUAAAUUUCUCAUCCCA